rnacentral:rRNA from 1 species
UGGGGAAUAUUGCACAAUGGGGGAAACCCUGAUGCAGCGACGCCGCGUGAGCGAAGAAGGUUUUCGAAUCGUAAAGCUCUGUCAUAUGAGAAGAUAAUGACGGUAUCAUAGGAGGAAGCCCCGGCUAAAUACGUGCCAGCAGCCGCGGUAAUACGUAUGGGGCGAGCGUUGUCCGGAAUUAUUGGGCGUAAAGGGUACGUAGGCGGUCUAUUAAGUCAGGUGUGAAAGCGUGAGGCUUAACCUCAUUAAGCACUUGAAACUGAUAGACUUGAGUGAAGGAGAGGAAAGUGGAAUUCCUAGUGUAGCGGUGAAAUGCGUAGAUAUUAGGAGGAAUACCGGUGGCGAAGGCGACUUUCUGGACUUUUACUGACGCUCAGGUACGAAAGCGUGGGGAGCAAACAGG